ensembl:lncRNA
CAGCUUGUACAUUUAUCACUGUAAGGAAAGCAUCCUGCCAGUACUGGUUAGGCAAAGUGUACUUGUAGCCAUUAGUAGUCCAGUCUGAUUAUCGGGCUCAAUCUGUUUCUAAUGGCAACCUUUGCAGUGACAGCAUUGUUUCCAUCUGUGCUCACAUGAGAGAUUUGAAAUCUUAGCGUUUAAAGUUCUUACAGACACAAUUAUUUCCUUUCUUAGGGAUUGUUCCAGCUGGUGUUCGGCAACCCGGUGUACCUGCAACGAGCAAGCUGGCCCCUACCUUCUGCUUAGCAAGCCAAGUCAUAGUUAGCCAGGAUUGCCUCCGAUUACAACAGGUACUGUGACUUGAUAUCUGAGGUUUGUUCUCUUAAACUACCUGCAGUUCUCCUGCCCAGCACUCCAGUGAAUGACAGCACUGCUGCUCCUUCUCAGAGAGAGAUGUGUCGGCCAGAGUAGAAAAUCCAGAACUCUUGAACCUCUCUAUCUGACAUCUACACAAACUGUUCAGCAGUGGGAGACAGGCAGCCAUACCAUACCAACAUACCAUACCAGUUACGGUAUUUCUGUUGCUUUUUUGGCAUCUUCUCUCACAAUCAGCUGAGCUUACGAGAAACUAAGGAAAAAGUCAUAAAAAAGUUGGUUGGAAGGAGCCUUAACCUGAUGCUUGGACCAGGACUGACAGCAGUAGUAACUCAAGGCAGCCUAUUGUAUGCAAAUAGCCAUUAACCACGGAUCCUCAAAGCCAGACUUAUUUUCAUUCCAGAUUUCCAACCCUGCUACAGCAGCACAGCAUUCCUAAAACAGGAGCAGGGGUUGUAGCUGAAGAUAAAGUGUGGUGGCCUCCAUCAUCCCGUCCAGUUCCAGUGCCACUAAUAGCUAAGGUGACUAACAGAAACGCUUGGGCUCCUCUGACGAAAUGUGACGAAGGAACAGAAGCGACGUGGGAGAACAACGUUCAUCUCUGUGAUGUCCCGUCUGUGGUCCAUCUGCCUCUGAAUGCCACACAGCGCUCCUCAGCACCACUCAUGAAUUUCCUGAGCUGUCGCAAAGACUUUCCUCCCAAGUCUACCUAUUGGUUUGCUAGACUGCAAAAUUUAACCGAAGCUGGUGAGUUCCUUUUAAAUUUAUAUAAAAGGAUAAAAGUAGUCACUGCAAGUUUAUGAAUUGCAUCUUUCGCAAUCCAAGGCAGAGAUUUGACCUUGAAGCUUUAUACCCAGUUAGGUUUGAGACUGAGUUGGAAAUAUAUAGGCAAAAAGUGUGCAUGAAUUUGCUACAGUAGUUGAAGUCUUUAUUUACUACAAGCUCAUAGGCUAAUUAAGUUAUCAUAGUUCCUUUUGCAUACUGUAAUUUAUAGCUUUCCUGCUAACCCAGUGAAGAGCCAUCUUGUCAGCCUAUCUGGAUAUCCCAGAGAGCCUACAACUUUUUUCACUUUCUGACAGAGAACAGAACGGCAACAUCAUGAAAUUUCCAACAAAAUGAACCGGUCCAGCUAGUGCCAGCUGCUGACGGGCUGAGUUUGGGGCUGCCGUUAACUUCUCAUAACAGAAAACAUGUUCUGACAGUGAGCCAGCCACAGAACCUACCCGACGUCGUGCCAGACCUCCCACCAGCUUCUCAGCUCUGCCUUCAACAUAUGCUGGCUUCCCACUGGCAAUGGUGAGGUAACUCCUCGAUUUGGAGGGAGAAAACUAUGAGCCACUGAACUUCUGCAGCUCCUUGGAUGUGUCCUCUGACAGAGUGCAUCUAUCAGCCAGUGUCUAAUGGUUAAUCACGCCUAGAAAACAUAAUGUGGCAUUUAAUAAGCCAGGGUAAAGAACCUUCC